UGCUAGGCGAAGGGGUUGAGUGCCGCACCCUAGAUGGCUAAAGUCCAGUAGCCGAAAGCAUCACUAGCUUAUGCUCUGACCCGAGUAGCAUGGGGCACGUGGAAUCCCGUGUGAAUCAGCAAGGACCACCUUGCAAGGCUAAAUACUCCUGGGUGACCGCUAGCGAAGUAGUACCGUGAGGGAAAGGUGAAAAGAACCCCCAGUGGGUAGUGAAAUAGAACGUGAA
rnacentral:ncRNA from 1 species